rnacentral:tRNA from 5 species
GCGGACGUGGUCUAGUGGUUAUGACUGUAGAUUCCCAAUCUGCAAACCCGGAUUCAACUUCCGGCGUCCGCA